UCUUAAAAAUAAUUUCUACUUUUAUUGUUAAAAACUAGCGUGGUUGACGGAAUAACUAAACAAUGACAUGUCCCUGCCAUGUGUACCUCAUGCUAACGUACAAGGAUCAAUUUUUAACAGCAAAAACAAAUGAAAUUUUUAAUA
rfam:Gossypium hirsutum cultivar TM-1 unplaced genomic scaffold scaffold1812.1, whole genome shotgun sequence